CUUGGUCAUUUAGAGGAAGUAAAAGUCGUAACAAGGUCUCCGUUGGUGAACCAGCGGAGGGAUCAUUACAGAGUUGCAAAACUCCCAACCCUUUGUGAACGAACCUACCAGUUGCCUCGGCGGCGAGCCUUUCAGGCGGACCGCCGAAGGAAUAUAAACUCUUUGCAUUAUAGUAUCUCUGAUUACUUAUUCAAUAAGUUAAAACUUUCAACAACGGAUCUCUUGGUUCUGGCAUCGAUGAAGAACGCAGCGAAAUGCGAUAAGUAAUGUGAAUUGCAGAAUUCAGUGAAUCAUCGAAUCUUUGAACGCACAUUGCGCCCGCUAGUAUUCUGGCGGGCAUGCCUGUUCGAGCGUCAUUUCAACCAUCAAGCCCUAGGCUUGUGUUGGAGCCCUGCGGCUGCCGCAGCCUCCUAAAAACAGUGGCGGGCUCGCUAUCACACCGAGUGCAGUAGUUUACUCUUCGCUCAUGGCGUGUGGCGGGUGCUGGCCGUGAAACCCCCUACUUCUUAAGGUUGACCUCGGAUCAGGUAGGAAUACCCGCUGAACUUAAGCAUAUCAAUAAGCGGAGGA
rnacentral:rRNA from 1 species